rnacentral:tRNA from 1 species
GCUCAGUUGGUAAAGCACAAGGCUUUUAACCAUGUGGACGUGGAUUCAAGUCCCAU